UACAGAGGGUGCGAGCGUUGUCCGGAAUCACUGGGCGUAAAGGGCGCGUAGGUGGCGACCCAAGUCAGUGGUGAAAGCUCGUCGCUUAACGACGAGUCGGCCACUGAUACUGGGUUGCUCGAGCACUGUAGAGGCUAAUGGAAUUCCGGGUGUAGCGGUGGAAUGCGUAGAGAUCCGGAAGAACACCGGUGGCGAAGGCGGUUAGCUGGGCAGUUGCUGACACUGAGGCGCGACAGCGUGGGGAGCAAACAGGAUUAGAUACCCCCGUAGUCC
rnacentral:rRNA from 1 species